rnacentral:rRNA from 1 species
CGCUGGCGGCGUGCUUAACACAUGCAAGUCGAACGGAAAGGCCCUGCUUUUGUGGGGUGCUCGAGUGGCGAACGGGUGAGUAACACGUGAGUAACCUGCCCUUGACUUUGGGAUAACUUCAGGGAACUGGGGCUAAUACCGGAUAGGAGCUCCUGCUGCAUGGUGGGGGUUGGAAAGUUUCGGCGGUUGGGGAUGGACUCGCGGCUUAUCAGCUUGUUGGUGGGGUAGUGGCUUACCAAGGCUUUGACGGGUAGCCGGCCUGAGAGGGUGACCGGCCACAUUGGGACUGAGAUACGGCCCAGACUCCUACGGGAGGCAGCAGUGGGGAAUAUUGCACAAUGGGCGGAAGCCUGAUGCAGCAACGCCGCGUGCGGGAUGACGGCCUUCGGGUUGUAAACCGCUUUCGCCUGUGACGAAGCGUGAGUGACGGUAAUGGGUAAAGAAGCACCGGCUAACUACGUGCCAGCAGCCGCGGUGAUACGUAGGGUGCGAGCGUUGUCCGGAUUUAUUGGGCGUAAAGGGCUCGUAGGUGGUUGAUCGCGUCGGAAGUGUAAUCUUGGGGCUUAACCCUGAGCGUGCUUUCGAUACGGGUUGACUUGAGGAAGGUAGGGGAGAAUGGAAUUCCUGGUGGAGCGGUGGAAUGCGCAGAUAUCAGGAGGAACACCAGUGGCGAAGGCGGUUCUCUGGGCCUUUCCUGACGCUGAGGAGCGAAAGCGUGGGGAGCGAACAGGCUUAGAUACCCUGGUAGUCCACGCUGUAAACGGUGGGUACUAGGUGUGGGGUCCAUUCCACGGGUUCCGUGCCGUAGCUAACGCUUUAAGUACCCCGCCUGGGGAGUACGGCCGCAAGGCUAAAACUCAAAGGAAUUGACGGGGCCCCGCACAAGCGGCGGAGCAUGCGGAUUAAUUCGAUGCAACGCGUAGAACCUUACCUGGGUUUGACAUGGAUCGGGAGCGCUCAGAGAUGGGUGUGCCUCUUUUGGGGUCGGUUCACAGGUGGUGCAUGGCUGUCGUCAGCUCGUGUCGUGAGAUGUUGGGUUAAGUCCCGCAACGAGCGCAACCCUUGUUCACUGUUGCCAGCACGUUAUGGUGGGGACUCAGUGGAGACCGCCGGGGUCAACUCGGAGGAAGGUGGGGAUGACGUCAAGUCAUCAUGCCCCUUAUGUCCAGGGCUUCACGCAUGCUACAAUGGCUGGUACAGAGAGUGGCGAGCCUGUGAGGGUGAGCGAAUCUCGGAAAGCCGGUCUCAGUUCGGAUUGGGGUCUGCAACUCGACCUCAUGAAGUCGGAGUCGCUAGUAAUCGCAGAUCAGCAACGCUGCGGUGAAUACGUUCCCGGGGCUUGUACACACCGCCCGUCAAGUCAUGAAAGUUGGUAACACCCGAAGCCGGUGGCCUAACCGUUGUGGGGGAGCCGUCGAAGGUGGGACUGGUGAUUAGG